UCUGAGGUUUUCUUAAAAACCACAAAUUUUUUUUUCGAACUAUAA
rfam:Entamoeba invadens IP1 unplaced genomic scaffold scaff_1105074725543, whole genome shotgun sequence.